ensembl:lncRNA
CUGGCUUACAGGCCAUUCCCAGCAAUGCAGAGAGAAAAUAAUGGAAUAUUUUUAACAUGAGGAAUAAAUACACAAUGACUAAUGAUACAGUAACUUGGUUAUCUGCACAGGGUACCAGUACAAGGUCAAUGUAUGAUGUAAUUGAGGUAGAUAUAGUACCUUCUGAAAGUAUUAAAGCCUGAAUUCAAAAUGGAUGAAAUGAGGAAAUACAAAUCACCCAUCUACAAACAAUACCCCAUAAUGACAAAGUGAAAACAUGUAUUUGUAGUGACUGUAUUGAUACACCAUCCAAAGUGUAAUUAAUAAUUUCACCAUUGUCGUGCCGGAUGAAGUGAUAUGACAUGCUAUUCUAUAAAAUAAUUUUGCCGUAAUUAAUAUUACCUGAUUGAGCUAAUCAUGUAAAUGUUAUUAACUAGAGAGUCGGGCACCACAAAAUAAUAUUUAUAGAGCUGUUAUAUUCCGAAUAAACUCUUAAAGACCUAGUAAUAUUUUACAUCAAUAGCAGUCAAUAUUAAUUGUCAUCUUAAUUCAGUCUCAUCUGAAAGUUGUAAAUUCUUGGUUAUCUGCACGAACCCUGGCUAACAAGUUGAAUCAGCAAUACAAAAUUGGGUUUAAUUAUUUAUUUACUAAAUACCUGACUAAUCACACAGAAUUACACAUACACAUAUUUAAAUCAUAACUUGAUUACAAAUGACGUCAUAAAGGAAAACAGAUAUGACAGCUGGUUACACAAAAAAAAACAGUGACAAUCAAUCUCAAAUGAAUCCGUUUUAAAUUCAGCCUGUAAAACAACAAAAUGUGGAAAAGUAAAGUGGUGUGAAUACUUUCUGAAGGCCCUGUACGGACAUAUCGGUAGGUAUAAAGUGGUGUGAAUACUUUCUGAAGGCCCUGUACGGACAUAUCGGUAGGUAUAAAGUGGUGUGAAUACUUUCUGAAGGCCCUGUACGGACAUAUCGGUAGGUAUAAAGUGGUGUGAAUACUUUCUGAAGGCCCUGUACGGACAUAUCGGUAGGUAUGAAGUGGUGUGAAUACUUUCUGAAGGCUCUGUACGGACAUAUCGGUAGGUAUAAAGUGGUGUGAAUACUUUCUGAAGGCCCUGUACGGACAUAUCGGUAGGUAUAAAGUGGUGUGAAUACUUUCUGAAGGCCCUGUACGGACAUAUCGGUAGGUAUGAAGUGGUGUGAAUACUUUCUGAAGGCUCUGUACGGACAUAUCGGUAGGUAUAAAGUGACUAGGCAACAGAACAGAUAAUAAGUAGUAGCAGCAGCAUAUGUGAUGAGUCAAAAGAGUUAGUGCAAAAAGGGUCAAUGCAGAGACUGAAAUAUUUAGCCAAUAGCUACGCAGAUUGACUAUUUAGCCGUUUUAUGGCUUGGGGGUGGUAGCUGUUUAGGGUCCUGUUGGUUCCGGACUUGGUGCAAACAAUUUGUUGUUGUGUGUUUACAUUUUUAGGAGAAAAGAGAGGUCUGCAAACUUACCUUACAUUGAAAGCAGUGGCAAGAGGGUAUGACAAUUCACUGAAUAGAAUCAUUGUGUGUCUCAGUUGUAUAUUGAAAGGCAACAUUGUAUGGCCAUCUGGCCCACCUCACUGGGGAUGUCCUAGCUUUGACCUUGGUGGCUGUUGUGGCAGGCUUGUGGCAGUGUAUACCCUAUCACUGACACUGCUCAUCCCUAGCAGAGGAGACCAGCAUGUACUGUUAGUGCCAGGGUGGUCUGCUCUCGGAGGGGAAUCAGAGAACGAGUGAUCUACAGCAGUGCAGAUGGGAAGGAUCUAUUUUACCAGAGAGAGAGUGAGUGUUCCAUUGUGGGUAAGGGAGGCCUGAGAGAUAUAGUGGGAGAGAUUUUCCUGAUGAGGUGUUUGGCCGAUUCCUUUUAGACAUAGGAUUCUAAUGAUGCCAGCAUGUCUGGAUGAAUCAGGCUAGAAUUCCAGAUCAGUGCAGAGCCAAGCUUCCUUUAAGUAGUGACACAGUGGGGUACCGUGAAAUAUUGAGAUAUCGAACCUUUUGGUGCAUUUCACAUUAGCCAACACAAUUUGCUCUGUCCUUAAAGUGAUUGAUACAGAACACACAAUUCGUAUCGGUACAAUGAGAAACCACGGCAUCUACAGUAAUAUGCCCAGCAUAUAUCGUAUUGUCAUGUUGCCUCUGUGAGAUGUUGCCUUUUUAAAGAAAUGCUUGAUAUUUAAUCAAACAGAAAAAUAGAGAAUUUGAAGCUCCUAAUCAUUUUAUGUUUAGUUUCUGUGGAUGAGGACAAAACUAUAAUUUUUUCCAAGAUUAGUAAAAUGAAAAAGAAAUGUGUUGUGCUCUUCAGGUCUCUUCCUAAUGUAGGUGAAUGGCACUACGGCAAUAACGUCCCAUGAUAGUGGCAUGAUUGGCUGUGUCCUACCAGCACAACUACAACCAAACAGCACCAUUACGUUAGACUCAUGUCUGGCUGGUCAUCUGGGCGUGUAGGCCAAUGUCAAUUGAUGUUCUUCCAUUUUGAACAGGCUUUUCAUGUCAUAAAUAAUACUAUCCUCAUGAAUAUUUCAAGGCAGUGUGUAUCAGGUAUCCUUUACCACCACUGUGACCCUUAACCUGUGUGCUCAUUGUGGUCCACAUGUCACUAAUGAGAGAAGUUAGUAAAUCAAUACUUGGUUUCAAAAUGCAUGAGAGGAGACUGUCCAGGAUAUCAAAAACAUUACCCCAUGUGUACUGUAACUGAGCUACUAGACCGGUGCAGUGUUUUGGAAUUGUAGUGGGUUCCAUUUUGUCAUGAUGUUAUUUGGGCAAGGCACAGGGAGUAUAAAAUGGUCUCCAACAACAUUCAAUUUAGCUUUAGAUACAUAGAUGCUGAGAAUAUACAGUAUACAACAAAUCUUUAUUUUAGUGGGAAUUUAAUCUGUGCAAACCAUUCCUUCUCUGAUAACGCACUACUCCAGCUGUUCAACUACAAAAGUGGGUCGAAAUUGCACAAGCCUGUUUAUUCCUUUUUGGUCUUGUUCAAAACCCCAAACAUGUAUGGGUGCUUGAAUAGAUGAUUGUUGAUCUCCAGCAGAGUGGGCACUCAUUAAUGCAACUUUUGUGAAUUCAAGGGUGGCCAAUCACUUCUCACAUGAAUGAACUCCCCUGUCCAUUUUUGCAAGAUAUCAUUGUGACGAAAUCAAAAGUUAAUCCCCCCUUUAAAAAAAAAAGUAUUCUGAAUUUGAUGGUGCAUACGGAGGUAAAGAUAUGUUUUAUUUUUUAACCUUCGGGAACCUCUGGGAAACAAUCUUAUUUACAGUGACAACCUGGCAAAGGCUCUUCAGAGAUGUUUUGUUUUGUCUGUUUUGUAAAAAUAAAAAAUAAAAACAAGUGGUUAAUUUACUGCAGCAGUACAUUUUCAUGAAUAACCCACAUUGUUUAUAGUUAAAAACAUUUCCACUGCAUAGUGGCCACAUGAGUGAUUGUGGCAUUCCUGUUAAACAUUGUAUUUAUCUAGCCAUGUAAAUUUGAGACUGGAGUAUCUUUCACACCGACAGCCAAUAGGAGUAAUGAUUAUUUUCAUCCCAAAUAGUGUUUCUUAC